AUGGAGUUCACCUGCGCCGAGCUACCCAGCGACCUACGCGUUUAUUUUCAAAUCCUCGCGGAGGAUUACAGACGGGCGGUUACCCCGAGGAACCAGCGCAGCGCCGUGGAGGUGGCGAUAUUGACGCUGGAGGACGAUGACAGCGUGUUGGAGCGCCCCAGUGUUCGUCGCCUCUAUGAGCGGCUGUGCGAGCUAAGCGACGCGCUCCGCACCACGCCAGCGCCGGUCGCACCGCCGAAGGUUUCGGUUUCCUCCUCCCCGCCCCGUCGCACCGUUGUGUCUGCACCAACCUGCCCAGCUCCAUGUUUGUUCCGCUGGGAGGAUUUCCUGCACUCAUGCGGUCCCCAGUUCAGCCGUGUGUUGCCCAGUCCCCAGUUCAGCCGUGUGUUGCCCAGUCCCCAGUUCAGCCGUGUGUUGCCCAGUCCCCAGUUCAGUCGUGUGUUGCCCAGUCUCCAGUCCAGCCGCGAGCUGUUCAGUCUCCAGUCCAGCCGCGAGCUGUUCAGUCUCCAGUCCAGCCGCGAGCUGUUCAGUCUCCGGUCCAGCCAAGUCCUGUUCAGUCUCCGGUCCAGCCGAGUCCUGUUCAGUCUCCGGUCCAGCCGAGUCCUGUUCAGUCUCCGGUCCAGCCGAGCCCAGUCCCGGUUCCAGUUCAGCCGAGCCCAGUCCCGGUUCCAGUUCAGCCGAGCCCAGUCCCGGUUCCAGUUCAGUCGAGCCCAGUCCCCAGUCCAGCCGAGCCCUGUUCAGUCCCCAGUUCAGUCGAGCCCAGUCCAGUCCCCAGUUCAGUCGAGCCCAGUCCCGGUUCCAGUUCAGUCGAGCCCAGUCCGGGUCUCAGCCCAGUCGAGCCCUGUCCAGUCGAGCCCUGUCCAGUCGAGCCCUGUCCAGUCGAGCCCUGUCCCAGUUCAGUCCAGUCACGCUCCUGUCCCAGUUCAGUCCAGUCACGCGCAGGUCUUAUCCCAGUCAGAGGACUCCAACUGUCGAACGGGUGCUGUGCACACCCGAUCAGGCCCGACGUCUCCUCCGUCGAGCUCGGCAGCUGUAAGCAGUCAUGCCGGCUCCGGAGGGGACGCCGUCCCAGUUCCUGUCGGCCAUGUUGCGGCCGUUCCUGUCGGCCAUGUUGCGGCCGUUCUAGUCCCUGUUCCUGUUCCUGUCGGCCAUGUUGAGGCCGUUCCAGUCCCUGUUCCUGUUCCUGUCGGCCAUGUUGAGGCCGUUCCAGUCGGCCAUGUUGCGGCCGUUCCAGUCCCCGUUCCUGUUCCUGUCGGCCAAGUUGAGGUCGUUCCUGUUUCUGUCGGCCAAGUUGAGGUCGUUCCUGUUUCUGUCGGCCAAGUAGAGGUCGUUCCUGUUUCUGUCGGCCAAGUAGAUGCCGUUCCUGUCCCUGUCGGCCAAGUAGAUGCCGUUCCUGUCCCUGUCGGCCAAGUAGAUGCCGUUCCUGUCCCUGUCGGCCAAGUAGAUGCCGUUCCUGUCCCUGUCGGCCAAGUAGAUGCCGUUCCUGUCCCUGUCGGCCAAGUAGAUGCCGUUCCUGUCCCUGUCGGCCAAGUAGAUGCCGUUCCUGUCCCUGUCGGCCAAGUAGAUGCCGUUCCUGUCCCUGUCGGCCAAGUAGAUGCCGUUCCUGUCCCUGUCGGCCAAGUAGAUGCCGUUCCUGUCCCUGUCAGUCUUGGGGUGGCAGUCCCGGCGGACCUCCAGGAGGGGGUCGCGCCCGCCGCAGUCCCGGCGGACCUCCAGGAGGGGGUCGCGCCCGUCGCAGUCCCGGCGGACCUCCAGGAGGGGGUCGCGCCCGUCAUAGUUCCGGCCGCACCUGCAUCGGUUCCUGGCGGCUCCGGCCGCACCUGCAUCGGUUCCUGGCGGCUCGGCCGCACCUGCAUCGGUUCCUGGCGGCUCGGCCGCACCUGCAUCGGUUCCUGGCGGCUCGGCCGCACCUGCAUCGGUUCCUGGCGGCUCGGCCGCACCUGCAUCGGUUCCUGGCGGCUCGGCCGCACCUGCAUCGGUUCCUGGCGGCUCGGCCGCACCUGCAUCGGUUCCUGGCGGCUCGGCCGCACCUGCAUCGGUUCCUGGCGGCUCGGCCGCACCUGCAUCGGUUCCUGGCGGCUCGGCCGCACCUGCAUCGGUUCCUGGCGGCUCGGCCGCACCUGCAUCGGUUCCUGGCGGCUCGGCCGCACCUGCAUCGGUUCCUGGCGGCCCGGCGCUGACCGCGUUGCCACGUCUGUUCUCGCUUCGGCAGCUGGACUGGUGGCCUCGCCCUCGGCGCUUCCGGCCGUUUGGGUGGCGCUGCCUCCUGCGUCGACGUCCACCUCGACCCCUCGAUCUCCAGGAUCAGCGUCGUCCUGGAGGACGUCGUCGUUCGGGGGGGUCCCCGUGGACGCUGGCCCAGCCCAAGGGCGCUGGGGGUGCCCUCCUGCCUCAGCGGCGGUUGAGCAGGAUCUCGCCGCGUCCCCACCCUCCGUGAGGGACUCCCUGGACUCUGAGUUUUCUGGUCAUGGACUUUGUUCCUGUCUCAUGGACAUUCAUGUUGUUUUCGGGUUUGAGGCUCGUCCUUGUUUUGGGUUUUUGGUGGGCCCUCUGGUCUGUUGUGUUCGGGCGUGA
rnacentral:lncRNA from 1 species